rnacentral:rRNA from 1 species
GAUGAACGCUGGCGGCGUGCCUAAUACAUGCAAGUCGAGCGAACAGACGAGGAUCUUGCUCCUCUGACGUUAGCGGCGGACGGGUGAGUAACACGUGGAUAACCUACCUAUAAGACUGGGAUAACUUCGGGAAACCGGAGCUAAUACCGGAUAAUAUAUUGAACCGCAUGGUUCAAUAGUGAAAGACGGUUUUGCUGUCACUUAUAGAUGGAUCCGCGCCGCAUUAGCUAGUUGGUAAGGUAACGGCUUACCAAGGCAACGAUGCGUAGCCGACCUGAGAGGGUGAUCGGCCACACUGGAACUGAGACACGGUCCAGACUCCUACGGGAGGCAGCAGUAGGGAAUCUUCCGCAAUGGGCGAAAGCUUGACGGAGCAACGCCGCGUGAGUGAUGAAGGUCUUCGGAUCGUAAAACUCUGUUAUUAGGGAAGAACAAAUGUGUAAGUAACUAUGCACGUCUUGACGGUACCUAAUCAGAAAGCCACGGCUAACUACGCG